GACAGGUGGUGCAUGGUUGUCGUCAGCUCGUGUCGUGAGAUGUUGGGUUAAGUCCCGCAACGAGCGCAACCCUUAAGCUUAGUUGCCAUCAUUAAGUUGGGCACUCUAGGUUGACUGCCGGUGACAAACCGGAGGAAGGUGGGGAUGACGUCAAAUCAUCAUGCCCCUUAUGAUUUGGGCUACACACGUGCUACAAUGGACAAUACAAAGGGCAGCUAAACCGCGAGGUCAUGCAAAUCCCAUAAAGUUGUUCUCAGUUCGGAUUGUAGUCUGCAACUCGACUACAUGAAGCUGGAAUCGCUAGUAAUCGUAGAUCAGCAUGCUACGGUGAAUACGUUCCCGGGUCUUGUACACACCGCCCGUCACACCACGAGAGUUUGUAACACCCGAAGCCGGUGGAGUAACCAUUUAUGGAGCUAGCCGUCGAAGGUGGGACAAAUGAUUGGGGUGAAGUCGUAACAAGGUAGCCGUAUCGGAAGGUGCGGCUGGAUCACCUC
rnacentral:rRNA from 1 species